rnacentral:lncRNA from 1 species
UAGAAACACAGUCUGAAGGGGAAUGUGUAGAAAUCAUAGACAUCAUUGGUUAUGAUGCGAUAAGUUGCCCCAUAUUCAGCUGUGGGUACGAAAUUUUGGAAUUCUCCCAGUGGACCUGUGUUGACAAUUUUGAAGGUAUUGUUUGUUGGCACUUGAGCUCUGGUGCUAAUGGCCAAGAAACAGAGGAGGAGGAGAAUGCUAAGACAGGGUGAAAAUGGAAAGGUACGACGAGCCAUUGGAAUUCUUUUUGUGCAAUAAGGAAUAAAGGGCAAGCUAAUCAGUUGGAAAUGGAAUGAGAGAUAUGAAGUGGGUUGUAACCAUUUGGUAUUUAUAGAUUUUUUUUAUUGGCUUUUCUCAGGGAGUUGGUUUGUGGAUAGGAAAAUCAACUCGACGGUUUUUCUAGUUUUUCUGCAUACAAUUGUUGAAAUUUGAAAACUGAUUAAAAAAAUAUUGAAAUUUGAAAUUUGAAUUUCAACGUCAAAGUUGGUAACCUGCAAACAAGAUUGAGCAUCCAUCUAGUAACAUAGUAUUAUAUAAUUUUGUUCUAUGUCGUAGUGGUUGUCAAAUGAUUAUAUAAUGUACAACACAAUUUUUUAUAAGGGAAAACGAAACAAAUAAUCCCUUACAUAUUACUUAUUUAACCAUUCACUUACAUAAAAAUGCAAAUUCAUACUUUAAAUAUAUAAGGGAUAAUUUCAGAAACCUCCCCUGAGGUUUCUAAUAAUUUCACAAAGCUCCCCUUAAUAUUUCAAAAUUACACAUACCUCCCCUAUUGCUGUAAAAGUACUCUACUACCCCUAUAUAGGAUACUUAAUGACUUUUUCUUUUUGGAAAUUUCAGAAAUUUCAAGAAAAACUAAAAUUGACUUAUCUCUCUCUCUCUCUCUCUCUCUCUCUCUCUCUCUCUCUCUCUCUCUCUCUCUCUCUCUCUCUCUCUUUUCUACCUUAAUGUGUCUUCCAUUUCCUUUUUUGCUAAAUUCCUACCACUCAUUCCUCUCUACCUAAUAUUUUUCCUCCAAUUCAUGACCAAAUUCUAUCUAUUAUCCCUUGCCCAUAUUUAUCCCCCUCAUUGCCUUCUUCUUCUUCUUCUUCUAUCUCUAUUCAAUCUCUUUUUUGCAAAUAUGAUCAAGUUCAUCCUUUUUAUCCUUUUAAUUCUAAGUGUAAUGGGUUUGAUUUUUUUGAGUCUAUUUAUUUUAUCCAAUGUUGGUUGAUUAUGGGUGAUAAAACUUAGUGAUGUCAAAAGUCAAGAAUUUGAGGGAUGGAUGUGCUUUAGAAAUGGGUUGUUGAAAAAAAAAAGAGGCUGCAAAAAGAGAAAGACGAAAGAUCUGUGCUAUUGAUUGUGGAUGAAGUGUUAGUUUUGGGUAAAAGUUUGAGAUUGAGUUUUAUCCAAUUUAGCACCAAGUGACGGAUUUAAUUAAAUUGUGUAGUAAAUGUAGGGGUUGGGGUUAUUGGACAUAAAUUAGGUUAUAGUGUUUUGAGUGCUAGAAUUAUUGAAAUUUAUUUUGAUUUAAAUUGGGGUGUUUGCUUGGCUUUUGGGGUGGAGUUGUUUGGAAGAAGGCAAUCAUCAUAGUUGAAUUUUUUUCCUAACUUUUAUUUUUGGUAGAAAGAGUUUGUUGGCUUUGGUGUUGGAAGAAAAGCAAUCAACAAAGCUCUUUUAUUUUUCCUUUUUAUCUUUUUGACAAAAAGGAUAGUUUAGGAUAUUUGAAGGAAUUGGUAGCCUAUUGGACCUAUUUUGAAGCAUAAAUAGUGAAAGCAAGGGAGGUGUGUGUAAUUUUUGAAACCUAAGGGGAGCUUCUUGAAAUUGUUAGAGACCUCAAGGGAGGUUUCUGAAAUUAUCCCAAUAUAUAAAUUGCAUCAUGUUUGUCUGAAAAUUCAUUUUAGGAGAUUUUUUUUUUACCUGAAAACGCCAUGUGGCUACCAAAUGAUAAUAUUUCAAAGAUAAAAAAGACAUUACAUACUCAUGAUUUAUCCAUUUUUUUUCUUUUUUUUCCUCCUCUGUUUUUGCUUCACCAACAUUCAAACAGCAAAUCCUAGAUCCGCCACCAUAGUCCGCAAUUUCCAGAUAACAAACACUAUCAAAUAUUGUUUAAUAUCCAGAAAUCUCAGUUUUUAUUAUAGUGUCAUUUUUCUUUCACAAACAUCUUAUUCUACUUCUUUUUUAUUUCCUUAAGUUCCAAUAACUACUAACAUUGUAAAACACAAAUUUAAACAUACCAAAAAAAAAUAUCACUAAAAAAAUGAGAUUUUUAUGAAUUUUUUGUUGUACUUUUUGUUUUUCUAUUAUAUUAUACUUUUUUAAUAUGUUGAAUUUUGUGUUUUACCCUUUAGUAGUCAUUGAAACUUUAGGAAAUAAAAUAAAAUAUUUGUAAAGGAGGAAUGACAAAAUAAUUAAAGAUGUGACAUACGAUAAGAGAGGUAGGAUACAGUGGGUCAUAAUAUGCAAAAAAAUGGCAAGUAUUAAGCUACUAAAAAUAAAUGGUAGAAAGAGAAAGUCCACUUUUGGAAGUUUGAAGUCAAUAUAGCAGCUGAGUCGGAAAAAAAAAAAAAAAAAGUCAAUAUAGCAGCCUGUAGAUGUGCUGUAAUCCCCUUAGAACCGGGCUCCGUGUCGUCUUCACCCUUCACUAAUUAGCAACUUGGGCACAUUGCAGACAAAUCUUUCCUCUUUGCCUUUGGGGUUAGAAGAUGGGAAAACACGUCUGCUUCUUCUAUACUUCUGGGCUGUAACGCAGCAGCAUUUAGCAACUGUAAUGAAGUUAAUAAAGUUUAACAAAAGGAUAACAUCAAGGUUUUAGACAAAUUAUCCUAGAUUCAAACCUUCCAGUUGCCUUAACCAUAAAGGACUUUUACAUCUUUGGCUCCCGGUUUGAGUGCGCUAGGCUCAAAGAUUGGCGAAGAACGUUUGGCACGGUUAAAUUGAAAACCAGCAUUAAAUGCUGACAGUCCAUUUUGUAUCCAUUCCAUUUUUUUUUGUUGGAUCCAUUUUGGUUCGCUUUUGCAUGGGUGCAAUCUGUAGCUAUAGAUGCUGAUGCAGAUCAGCAGAUGGAUGCUUCCAGUUCCAUAUUGGAUGAAUUGUGAUCAAAGUAUUAAUAUAUCCUUAUGGCUUUGUUUCAUGUUUACCUGCUUGGCAAUGAGAAAAGCCAUGCACGGCUUUCUUUAUUUGUUGAGAGAUUGAUCACAUCAAAACCAAGAGAUUGAUCACCUCAAACCGCGCAUGAUUUUUAAUUUAUCAAGUCAGUCAGGAAUUGUGUGGUAGCUUUGUGGGCUGGGAAAGUGGGAAUGCGCCAGAAUUUGAAGAUUGGUUGUGGUCCUGUGGAGUGGACCUGCGCGCAUCGCUAGCUUUGAGUGAUUGGAAAAGGCGGGCGAAUGGAUAAAUAUUGAAUACAUGCAUGCAUGCUAUAAAGUCAUUAGCAAUCAAUGUCAAAUAGUCCUUGCAGAAGACUUGUGGGUUCCUCUCUGAUGUCUUGGACCAUUUCGAUAUGUGUUCUUUGAACAUAAUUGUGUGCUUAUCAUUAAUGGCAUGUAUAAUCUUUCUUUCCUGUCUCUUUUUGUUCUGCGCGCAAGAAUGAUCAACGUCGACAAGUUUGCUUGCGGUUGGUUGUUAGAUGCACGAUUUUGAUUUACUUAUUUAUUUUUGGUAAAUAAAAGUUUGAUUUUAAAGGAGAGGAACAUAGUUCAGGCUAAGGCUCUGUUUGGUAUGAUGUAAAGUAUUUUCCUUAAGAAAAUAUUUUCCAUGGAAGUUAUUUUCUGGGAAAAUAUUCACAUUUUUCAAUAUUUUCUGAUGUUUGGUUGAAAUUUUUAACUACAUUUUUAUUAUCAAAAUUCAACUCCUUCCGCCGCCCGCUUUUCUCUUUCAUCACUGGAAACCGAUCUUCCAAGUUCCUAUCACUAAAAAUAGCAGAACCGCUCAAAAUGGAAGAAUCCAGGUCAAGCAUAAGGACAAUUCAUUGACUCGUAAUUAUUGGCGCCAUAAAAGACAUUACCAAGCUAGACAUAUCAAGACCAUGAAAUGACCGGUGAUUAAGGUCAAUCAAUGAAAGUGAAAGAACAGGCAUAAAUAUCUUCUCAAGUUGAAGAAAUAGGCUCUGUUCUUUUUCGUAUGAUUAGUGCUCUUAUUGACUCGUAUAUGAAAUUUGGUUUAAGGAUCAUAUACCAGCGAUCAAACCACAACCUCAAAGGCAUUAAAACCAAGACAAAUUUGAGCUAAAGAUAUGUAAUUUUGAUUAAGAAAACACUGCAAAGAAAAUUAAAAUGACUGAAGAAAGGCAAUGAGAAUUGAUAAUAAUCCAAAUUGUUAACAAAUUCGUAGUGUUUGCGUCACCGGUAAAUUCAUCAGCAUCAAAGACACGAUGUCAAAGAGAUCGGAGUCAGUAGGGUGAGGCCUUUUUUUUAUUUUGAAUAUACUACAAGCUUUGAAAGUUUAUCAAAUACCUUUAAUAAGCGGGAUGCAUGCAUUUAUAAAAACAAUUUCGGUAAGUCCGGAAGGGAAGUUAUUUUCCACAAGAUAAGCAAAAAUCUUUUACACAGUAAAAUAUUUUCAUUAGUUUUUGUGCAACCAAACACGGAAAAUUAGGAAAAUAUUUUCACUUGAAACAAAUGGACCCGAAAUGAUACUCAUAUACAAUUUUUGUUUAAAACCUUUUUGGAUGAAUCAAUGGGUAUGAAAAGCCGAAUCUGAGGGUUUCAUCAUUAGCUAUUUUGCUAGUUAUUCAACUUGAUUAUCCCUUUAUCCUAAUUUUUUUAUGAAACAAAAUCAAAACAGAAGCAAAAAAAAAUUAGUAAAUAAAUUAAAGGGACACGUAUCUCUCUCACCACCUUCUGUUCCCCUUCCCUUUGUCCCCUCAAAAUCGCCUCAAAGCUAUGUACCUAGUCCGUCUCUAUAUGGGUUAAGCCGGCUUCACUUUAAAUGGAUUUGUGGCCACACAAGUUUCAUUUCAUUCCAUUUCGGAAUAAAAUGAUCUUUUUUAACUUUUGUUAUAGAACCAUAUUUUAAUGCAAUCGGAUCAUAUCUAAUCUUUAAUUAUAUUAUCUUUCCAGCUAAAGGAUAAACUUGUGAGAAAUAGAAUUUGUGAGAGGACUCGUCGUUUAAUUAAAUUUGGCAAGACCAACUUGUGCAGUGAUAUUUGGGAGGAUGAUCCAAGAAAGAGAAUAUAUUAUUAAAGAUAUUUCUAUGAAAGAUACGUUAGGAGAGGCAAGUGUUACCUUUACACAAAAUGAAGUCCCAGAUUUUAAAAAAUUGCUCAGCAAAAACGAACUAAAAUAUUCAUAAACAUGCAAGAUAAUGUAAGUUUGCAGAAAAUUAUAAAGGAAAAGAUGUUUUUUUGUCAGCUUUAAUUGAGAAAAAUAAGAAUAUCAUAUGUAGGAAGAGCUACAAUGCUCGAUUCUAUUAGACAAGCAUUAUUGAUCUAGAAAAUGCUGGACAAGACAUAAAAGUAGGCAUGGGUGCAUUCCGGCUCAAUCUAUCAAAAGGGCCCUCACAGAACAAGGAAAGAAAAAGCAAAAUACCAAUCUGGGCAGCUUGGAUUUAUUGCAAACAGGAUACAAGGCUUACGAUCAAACCAGAGGAGCCAUAAUCAAUACAAUAUUGCAGAAGCUCAACACGAAGCUUCUUUACUCGGUGCAUAAAACUCUCAAAUCAUACUUAAUGCUAUGCUCACAAUUACCCAAACCAAGUUUUAACUUUUAACAGUUUUAUUUUUUUUUUCCUCUUAAGUUAAGGAUUUCCACAAAAUCAAUACUUGACAUAUGCACUAGUGGUGUUGACAUCUUUGGCGAGAGUCAAAAGCACCGGCAUAAGCAAGCACUUCGAAGUGUCUUGCUUGUAGACAAAUCCCUUGCAAUUGCAAUCAUUGGUGCACUUGUCUCUGCAUGCUCCAAAUUCCAUUUCGACUUCUUGACUAUCAGAAGACCACUGGUGGUUCAAGAAGGAUUGCACCCCAUCAAGCUUGAAAUAUUUUGCCUUUGGUUUCUUCCCACACGAGCCCAACUUUGGUGGUUGACAAUUUUCUGUCCAUCCCAAGAGCCCUUUUGGUGUAGGACAUGCCACACACAUCCCAUUUUGGCACAAUCCAAAAUUACCACAUUUUGUCGGCAAAGCACAUGCUGUUGCAAGAUCACUUGGAAAGAAAGUAUAGGUCUGCAUCCAUCUAUCAAAUCUGACUUUGUCAUAGUAAGUAUAAGCCUUGACAUUGCCAUCAGUUUCAAGCCUCAGAAAAGAGUACGUUGCAUUGUAAUUUAUUUUACUGAGUUGUUGAAUCCCAUCAACCUGUGGUUUUGGUGCUGGCGAUUCGAAUAUUUCAAAGAUAAGGUUCCAAGCUAUUGGAGUAGGCUCCCACGUCGAAGGUUGGGUGUUAAACCUUACGGUACUUCCAAAAUUCCCCGGCCAACCAUUGUAGCGAACUUGUUGGCCAGCGUUGUUUAGAUACAAGAGGAGGCCAUCAUCUCCAAGCACUAAGCUGUACUUUCCAUCGGAGCCAUCAACAUCAGAAGUUCGACUGACAAGCUUGUUUACGCCACUCUCGCGAAGGGACUGCCCAACUAGUAACGAAUCAACUGGAUAAUCAAAGCUUUGCCAAAUGAACUUUCCCUUUUUAUCAUACAGCACAAGGUUGCCAUUCUGGAGUAAUUUGAUGCCCGUGACACCCUUGUUAGCCGUGUUGGUUUGCCACACUAGGCUGCCGUCAGAGUCGGCUAGGACCAAGUUUCCAUCCCGGCCGAAAGAAAGGGCGGCGUUUUCUUUCACGGGGUGGUUGCGGUUGGCGUCCCAAACCCAUCGCAUUAGGCCAUUGUCAUCUGGGAUGCCAGCACGAAUGCCAAGCACGAAAGAAGUUGGGGUGGUGUUGUAGAAACACAGUCUGAAGGGGAAUGUGUAGAAAUCAUAGACAUCAUUGGUUAUGAUGCGAUAAGUUGCCCCAUAUUCAGCUGUGGGUACGAAAUUUUGGAAUUCUCCCAGUGGACCUGUGUUGACAAUUUUGAAGGUAUUGUUUGUUGGCACUUGAGCUCUGGUGCUAAUGGCCAAGAAACAGAGGAGGAGGAGGAGAAUGUUAAGACAGGGUGAAAAUGGAAAGAUACGACGAGCCAUUGGAAUUCUUUUUGUGUAAUAAGGAAUAAAUUGGAAAUGGAAUGAGAGAUACCGACAGGGUUGUAACCGUUUGGUAUUUAUAGAUUUUUUUAAGCUCUGCUUUUCACAAGAAGUUUUUU